CAAUUAGCCGGAUCAUGAUUAGCACGAUGAUAUCAUCUUGGAUGUCUCAUUUGAUCUCAGAUGUUUUAAGCAACGUAUGAAGAACGAGCCCCUGGACCUAAAAUAACGAAUACUGUUUUUAUUACUUCUGGCUAUAGAUGGCAGGGUAUGAACACUCAAAGAAUUUCUUUCUUAUGCAGAAUAUUUCAACUCUUCAGAGAACACGCAGCUGUGUGUAGCUCUGGUCUGGCUCUGCACUCCAUUCUAUUAAAGUUUAAUCAAUAAUUUUUCUCAUGGUUCUUCCAGUUCUGUUUGCUCAAGUAAAGAGGGUAAAAGAAUGAAAUCAAUUUUCCUCAAGGUAAAGAAUUUAUUCAGAAGUUGUUAUUUUAUCUUUUCAGGGACUUUGGAACCUUUCAUCCAAACAAGAGGAUGUUUCUGGAAUUUGAUGCCUCACUAUAAUGAGUUGGUUCUGUGUGAGACUCAGGUGUACAGAGUUCAAUGGAAUUUGUUGAAGAAAGAAUUAUCUUAAAAAUAUGAGGUUUCUUUUGUGCACUUAUAAAACAUUUAGAAGAGAAGAAAAGGCUGUGACGGCAUCCACAGAGGCAUGCUGAAUGUUUCUCGUUUUAAAUUAGUUUAGAUGCUUGAGCAAAAGUAAUUACACAAACUGACUAACAAAUACAUGCCAGUUUGUGUUGCAAAGUCAACACUUUUGGCAAUGACUUAAAUUUACUCCUUUACGGCUUCUAUCUGCCAAACGUACUCUACUAGCAAUAUAGAGAUGACAUCCAUGCCAUGACUGAGUGUGACUAACAGUCUGAGUUGACAACACCAAUCCCAUCAUAACAGUGAGGUGCUUUGCUAAUAACAAUGCUUGGAUCGCCAGUGCCCUGAGGGAAUCGUUUACUGUAUUUUACGGACUAUAAGGAGCACUGGAUUAUAAGGCAUUCCGUGAAUUAACACGCCUGUGUGUGUGUGUCUUUGUCCACAUAUAAGACGCACCGCAUUAUAAAUUGCAUUACAUAUUCUUCCUAAGUGUGUAACAUCAUUCCCCCAUCGGCGUUGCAGUUCAGACAAAUCAAACCAACACCCAGGCAGAGAUUCUGUGUAUAACAAAACCAGAGACAUCCCCAGUUUUCGUUAGAGAAACUAAAUCUGCUCACCAUAAGGGGGAAAUACACUGGCUGCCUAAUGUAAGCGGCGCGGCUUACGGGCGUGUUUUUUAAAGGCGUAAAUUUACAUCAGAUGCUGCAAAGUACGCUCCACAGCUGCGUGAUUUUGUGGAGAGAAGAACUUUUGUCAUGGGUAAGUAAUUAAAGACAAAUUACCAGUAAUAUAUGGGUAAGGUAUUAAAUUAUCAUUAAUAUUGUCAGGGUGCUGUCUGUUUGCUCUGGUUCUGGGUCUUUUCCCACAGGUGGUGUUGGUGUCUGUGGGGGCGUGCCCCACACCUGCGGCUCGUCAGGAGCAGAUUCCGCUGGCUUCUUAAGCAGUGCAGAGACAGACGGAAGAUGCAAGACCCUUAAACUAAUUGUGUUUUGUGUGCUUGGAUGCACUUACCUGGCCUGGAGUUUUGAUGAGGAGUUGUUCAGUGGAAGUCCUGUGCUCAGAUGUUGCUCUGGCGUUCCUCCUCAAACUUCCUAGGACGUACCUAGUUGGGGUGAGGUCCCCCCUCCCGGAUUCCACUGGCACCCUCAGCUUUCUGUACUCUGGUCAAUCCGUCUGUCCCUCCUACCUGUGGAGGUUGCUUCGGGUCUCUCGCCAGUUUCCACCAGCCGCCCUCCAGUCGCCACCCACAUAUCAGAGUAGACACUAGUUCCCUCAGUGCUUACUCUUCCCUGCUCGUGUUUUUUCGACUAAGGUUAAUCCCGCCCAGACGUUCAGGCCUCAAUCCAGGCGUCGAGCAGCUCCGACUUGUUUUUGCACCUUGCUCCUUUAAUAAACAUCUUAAACUGUGUAUUGGUCUCCCGAACGUUUUCUGCAUGUGGGCAAGACAUUUGAAAAACAUGACAAAUAUAUCCUAUGUUUUGAUCUCCUAAAAGUCCCGGUCUUGACCAUAUCUUAGUAUAUCUCCCAUAUUUUAGUUUAUUAACUUGUCACAUCUACAUCAUCCAUGGCGCUUUACUUUCGACGACUCUUAUUUCAACACAGAAUGUUUUCCUGUUUAUUCCCUGCCAAACUGGAGCGUAUACACGUCUGAAAUUAGAACUUCAAUGUAAU